UUUUUUGUCCAUUUUGAAUUCCAUCUUUAUAAUAUUUAGAUUAAUUUCUAACAUUAACAAUGUUAAAGAAACAAUAGAUUUUGAUCUUCAAAGCGUUCAACAUAUCGAUUAUUACAACACCUUGGAAAAAACGCGUGAUAUUUCAAAAUAAUCAUGUCUUUCGGAUUGUACUUCGUCUUGUAAAAAAGAAUAUAUAGUUGGAGAGGCGUCAGAAUAUCAGGGGUGCGAGACGAAUGAAGGAUGAACGGACACAAGAUUUUAAUUUAAAUUUGAAACGCUAUAAAUUUUGGUUGAAAGUUGUUGAUACAUCUUUGAAGAUGGCAACGAUUUUUAGAAAAAUUGCUACCAACAUUUUGGUUUACAAGAUAUCUUAAAGCUUGAGCAGCCCUUGAAAAUUCUAACAUCUCUCACACUUUAUUGUACAUUAUUAUUUAAGAAAAGAGGUCAAUAAAAUGGUAGAAUGUUAAACGAUAUAUUACUAUAGGAAAUGUUUCUAAAAUUUAAGCCUAUGUCUAGGAAGAACAAGAUUCAAUCUGUUCAUAAUGUUAAUUAUCUACCUUUACCAACAUUCCGACAACGUCCCUGUACUACCCCUUGCGGACCAUAACAAUUCUUUUCGUAGAUUUUUUGCAGAAUCUUAAUUUUAGUUUGUCUGAUAUAGGGUUUGCGUUGACAAAUUUCUUUUUUUCAGGUGUACAAACAACACCGCAAUUGAACCACACUCGUUUGCACAUAGUCAUACAUAUGAAUGAUUGUUUUCAUCUCAGCCGAUCAUCCAAUAUAUUUUUAAAAGCUCCCAUAAGCUUAAGGAGAGUUAACUACGCCUACGGAUUCCUAAACGGUUUUGUUACAAGGAUGUCUUUCCAAACUUUCGAAGCACCCUGAUAUGGUAACGUUUGACACUGUGGGAACAAAAGUUGCAUUUUCAGUAUUGUAAACCAGCACAAAGUAUCUAGAUAGUGCCAUUAAUCACAACUGUUACACCGCUAUAAACCUUUAACUCUUUCCAUAAAGUAAAUAUUUGCAUUUGCUUGGUUGAACUUGUAAAUCAGGAACCAACACUGAUCCUUGUGGUGUUUUUAUUUCUCCAACGAAUACAGCAGUUAACUCACAUUUAGUCUUUUCAAUACUGGAUUAAUCCUCGACUGGAGCGUACAGAAUUUUGCCUUUGCAAUGCUAUACGUCUGUGUAAUAUAAUUGGAAUUAACGCUUUUGCAAUUCCUAGUGAACGAGAAUGGCAUCACACAAAUAUACUCAGUUGGAAAUAGUCAGCUGAAGGUGUUUAUAUUAGCCAUUAAUCCAUUUUCCUCAUUUCUUUGUUCGCUCAGAGUACGUACAAGUGAAGAAUACGUACUGUUCCGCCGUCCAGGUUAAGGCAGGAGCAAAAGGUUGGCAGUUAUUCAUAGUAUUAUAAUGGUUGCCUUCAUCAGUGCUCCACUACCUCGCAAAAUGGUAGUUGAAUUUCAACGUCACUUUCCACAACGACAUUUUCCGAGAAGUAUCACAAGGUAGAAAAAUAUGCUUUCGUGAUUGCAAUUCCAAAUGCAUCCUGUCUCUAUUUUAAGAUUGUGUUCCAGAUAGUGAUUAGGUGUUUUUGCCAUAUCGCUUGCUUCAUGAUUCUUGCAAUCAUCGAUGUACAUCCACGUUGCAGAAUGUUGGCUAUAGUUCAAUUAGAUUUUUUACAAAUACAGAACUCAAUAUACUGCUCUGUGUCACAUACAUAAACAUACUUAUUCUGUUACACGUUCAAAUGUAUUCUGUUUCAAUCUUUUAACUAAGUUCCAACAAACUUGUACAAUAAAUUAUCUACCUUGGAAAAAAUAAGUACAUUUUAUUUUAUUUUUUGUUGAAAACGUUCUUCUCAUAAGCAUAUUAUUAGCUUAUGCCAAGAUAGAGCGUUUUCAAAUAUCGCCUUUGAGAUAUAACAAAUACAUUUUUGAGAAAAUAAUCUGGGAAAAUACCUUUGUUAUAUCUACGAAAUGUUGCAAUGCUGUUUUUACCAACCAGGUUUUAACAUAGGCAGCCAGCAAACACUCAUCACAAAACAAGAAACACUUUAAAAUAUUAAUUCAAUUCGUAUUUUAUAAUCACUGAUUAAUCACUGGUUAAUUUAGGCCUCUCUUUAGGUUGGGUUGCCAAAUAUUGGAGACAGAGACAAAUUUAAAAUUCCCAACAAAUCUAACCCAACAUAUGUGACCACACUUUCGUUGCUGCAAACCAUACUAAACUUUUUAGCUUACAUUUCAUUCACUUCUGCCAAAUUUACAACCUAGCAAUAUUUUAGUUGUAAAAUUUUGUUAGAUGUUUGCUACGCCGUUAUUCAGUUACCACUCAAAGGUUUGCAGAAAUAAAUAGGCGAGCAGCAUUUCUUCAAAAUUGUUCAAAG